AGAGGUAUGGCUCAGUGGUACAGUAUCAACCUAGCAGGCACAAGACCCUGAGUUCAAACCUCAGUACCAUUA
rnacentral:tRNA from 1 species